GACGAACGCUGGCGGCGUGCCUAAUACAUGCAAGUAGAACGCUGAAGGAGGAGCUUGCUUCUCCGGAUGAGUUGCGAACGGGUGAGUAACGCGUAGGUAACCUGCCUGGUAGCGGGGGAUAACUAUUGGAAACGAUAGCUAAUACCGCAUAACAGUAGAUGUUGCAUGACAUUUGCUUAAAAGGUGCAAUUGCCUCACUACCAGAUGGACCUGCGUUGUAUUAGCUAGUUGGUGAGGUAACGGCUCACCAAGGCGACGAUACAUAGCCGACCUGAGAGGGUGAUCGGCCACACUGGGACUGAGACACGGCCCAGACUCCUACGGGAGGCAGCAGUAGGGAAUCUUCGGCAAUGGACGGAAGUCUGACCGAGCAACGCCGCGUGAGUGAAGAAGGUUUUCGGAUCGUAAAGCUCUGUUGUAAGAGAAGAACGAGUGUGAGAGUGGAAAGUUCACACUGUGACGGUAUCUUACCAGAAAGGGACGGCUAACUACGUG
rnacentral:rRNA from 1 species